UUCCGGUUGAUCCUGCCGGACCCGACUGCUAUCAGAGUAGGACUAAGCCAUGCGAGUCGACGUAGCAAUGCGUGGCGAACGGCUCAGUAACACGUAGUCAACAUGCCCAAGGGACGUGGAUAACCUCGGGAAACUGAGAAUAAACCACGAUAGGUCAUGAUUUCUGGAAUGGAUCAUGGCUCAAAUCUACAUGGCCCCUGGAUUGGACUGCGGCCGAUCAGGCAGUUGGUGAGGUAAAGGCCCACCAAACCUAUAACCGGUACGGGCUCUGAGAGGAGAAGCCCGGAGAUGGGCACUGAGACAAGGGCCCAGGCCCUAUGGGGCGCAGCAGGCGCGAAACCUCUGCAAUAGGCGAAAGCCUGACAGGGUUACUCUGAGUGAUUUCCGCUAAGGGGAUCUUUUGGCACCUCUAAAAAUGGUGCAGAAUAAGGGGUGGGCAAGUCUGGUGUCAGCCGCCGCGGUAAUACCAGCACCCCGAGUGGUCGGGACGAUUAUUGGGCCUAAAGCAUCCGUAGCCGGUUCUGCAAGUCUUCCGUUAAAUCCAGCCGCUCAACGGAUGGGCCGCGGAGGAUACUACAGGACUAGGAGGCGGGAGAGGCAAGCGGUACUCAGUGGGUAGGGGUAAAAUCCUUUGAUCCAUUGAAGACCACUAGUGGCGAAGGCGGCUUGCCAGAACGCGCUCGACGGUGAGGGAUGAAAGCUGGGGGAGCAAACCGGAUUAGAUACCCGGGUAGUCCCAG
rnacentral:rRNA from 1 species